GGUCAAGUUACUAAGGGCGCAUGGUGGAUGCCUAGGCGCUGGAAGGCGAUGAAGGGCGUAGGAGGCUGCGAUAAGCCUGGGGUAACUGCCAACCAAGUGUUGAUCCCAGGAUUCCCGAAUGGGGCAACCCGAGCCGAGCGGGCAACCGUCUCGGCCCACCGUCAUCUGAAUGCAUAGGGUGACGGAGCCAACCCGGGGAACUGAAACAUCUAAGUACCCGGAGGAGAAGAAAGCAAACGCGACUCCCCAAGUAGCGGCGAGCGAACGGGGAUCAGCCCAAACCCGCCUUCGGGCGGGGGUUGUGGGCCCGGAGCGUCGGAGUCGACAAAGGCCGGCCUAGCCGAAGGAUCUGGAAAGGUCCGCUACAAAGGGUGAAAGCCCCGUAGGCGACAGGCGCGGGCCCUCCGUCCGGUGACCCAGAGUAGCACGGUGCUCGUGGAACGCCGUGCGAAGCAGGGAGGCCCAUCUCCCAAGGCUAAGUACUCUCCAGCGACCGAUAGUGAACCAGUAAGGUGACUGAAAGGUGAAAAGAACCCCGUCGAGGGGAGUGAAAAGUACCUGAAACCAUGUGCUUACAAGCUGUCGGAGCCCUAUGGCCGCCGCAAGGCGGCAACGGGUGACGGCGUACCUUUUGCAUAAUGGACCGGCGAGUUAGUCUGUGCGGCAAGGUUAAGCCCUUCAGGGGCGGAGCCGAAGCGAAAGCGAGUGUUCAAUGCGCGACGAUAGAGUCGCACGGACUAGACACGAAACCUCAGUGAUCUACCCAUGGCCAGGUUGAAGGCCCGGUAAAACGGGCUGGAGGACCGAACCCACGAACGUUGAAAAGUUAGGGGAUGAGCUGUGGGGAGGAGUGAAAGUCUAAUCAAACUGGGAGAUAUCUUGUUCUCCCCGAAAUAGCUUUUGGGCUAGCCUCGGGUCACUACGUCACGGGGGUAGAGCGACUGAAUGAAAAUAGGGACCCACCGGUCGCCUAUUUCAACCAAACUCCGAAUACCGUGACGACUAUCCCGGGAGUCAGUCGCCGGGCGAUAAUGUUCAGCGGCGAGAGGAAAAGAAUCCAGACCGCCGGCUAAGGUCCCAAAGCCAUGCUAAGUGCGUAAGGAAGUCCGAGUGCGAAGACAGCCAGGAUGUUGGCUUAGAAGCAGCCACCAUUUAAAAAGUGCGUAACAGCUUACUGGUCGAGCAUUUGGGCGCCGAGAAGGAACGGGACUAAGCAUGGCACCGAAGCCGCGGAUUCGUCGGGCUGCCAUCCCGCGCCCCCAACGGGGACGCGCGAUGGCGGUCCGGCGAGUGGUAGGGGAGCGCUGGUAACCGCGUUGAAGGCAUACCGUAAGGAGUGCUGGAGCGUUACCAGGUGAGAAUGCCGGUUUAAGUAACGAUAAGACAGGUGAAAAUCCUGUCCGCCGAAAGCCUAAGGUUUCCUGGGGAAGGUGAUUCCGCCCAGGGUUAGUCGGAUCCUUAGCCGAGGCCGAAAGGCGUAGGCGAUGGACAGCAGGCUAAUAUUCCUGCACCACUUCCACCGGGUUUGAACUUGCGGAGGGACGCCGGUCUUUUGGAAGAAAUGCCGACCGGAAAUGGCUAUCCCGCAGGCAAGAGGCGAGCGGUUGGCAAAUCCGCCGCACGAAAAGCCUCAAGCCGAAGGGCGAUGCUCGCUUUGGAGCAGAGUCUUCGCGAGACCGACCAAGAAAAGCUUCGUAAGGACUGGUGGGAGUGCCCGUACUAAAACCGACACAGGUAGGCAUGGCGAGAAGCCUCAGGCGCUCGAGAGAACUCUCGUGAAGGAACUAGGCAAAAUGACCCCGUAACUUCGGAAUAAGGGGUGCCUACUCACCGGUUUAACCGCUGGUGAGAGGCUGCAAGAAUCGGGCCAGGCGACUGUUUACCAAAAACACAGGUCUCUGCUAAACUCGCAAGAGGAAGUAUAGAGACUGACGCUUGCUCGGUGCCGGAAGGUUAAGGAAGGCGGUUAUCCCGAUUCGUCGGGAGAAGCUGGCGACCGAAGCCCCGGUUAACGGCGGCCGUAACUAUGACGGUCCUAAGGUAGCGAAGUUCCUUGUCGGGUAAGUUCCGACGUGCAUGAAUAGCGUAACGACUUGGCCGCUGUCUCCACGAGAGACUCGGUGAAAUAGCAGCGGUCGUGAGAAUACGACCUACCCGCGGAAAGACGGAAAGACCCCGUGGACCUUUACUGUACCCUGGUAUUGGGUUUUGAGCAUGCAUGUGUAGGAUAGGUGGGAGGCGUUGAGGCCCGGCCGCUAGGUCGGGUGGAGCCAACCUUGAAAUACCACCCUUGCGUGCUUAGGAUUCUAACCCCGGGCCGUUUCAUCCGGCUGGGGGACAGUGCUAGGCGGGCAGUUUGACUGGGGCGGUCUCCUCCCAAAAGGUAACGGAGGAGUACAAAGGUACCCUCAGCACGGUUGGCAAUCGUGCGCAGAGCGCAAGGGUAGAAGGGUGCUUGACUGCGAGUCCGAUAGGACGAGCAGACGCGAAAGCGGGUCCUAGUGAUCCGGUGGUUCUGUAUGGAAAGGCCAUCGCUCAACAGAUAAAAGGUACCCCGGGGAUAACAGGCUGAUCGCACCCGAGCGUCCAUAGCGGCGGUGCGGUUUGGCACCUCGAUGUCGGCCCAACACAUCCUGGGGCUGGAGAAGGUCCCAAGGGUUCGGCUGUUCGCCGAUUAAAGUGUUACGCGAGCUGGGUUCAGACCGGCGUGAGCCAGGUCGGUCCCUAUCUUCCGUGGGCGUAGGAUACUUGAGAGGGUGUCUCCCUAGUACGAGAGGACUCGGAGGCACGUGCCUAGGGUGUACCUGCUGUCCCGCCAGGGGCAUCGCAGGGUAGCCAAGCACGGAACGGCUAAACGCUGAAAGCAUCUAAGCGUGAAGCCUUCCUCAAGACGAGGUAUCCAGUCCCGGUUUACCGGGAGAGAGGACCCUGGAAGACUACCAGGUUGAUAGGCCGGGCGUGCAAGGACCGAGAGGUCUUUAGCCUACCGGUACUAAUGUCCGAUCACUUGACCCU
rnacentral:rRNA from 1 species